CCUGGGAGCUGAAGUGCCCCAAGGUGAUUGGUGUGAAGCUGACGGGCUCUCUUUCCGGUUGGUCCUCACCCAAAGAUGUGAUCCUGAAGGUGGCAGGCAUCCUCACGGUGAAAGGUGGCACAGGUGCAAUCAUGGAAUACCACGGGCCUGGUGUAGACUCCAUCUCCUGCACUGCAGCCACCGUGAGCUGGGGCCCUGAGCUCUGAUCCCCAUGGCCUCCCCUCACUGGCCCAGGUUUUUACCCAGGGCCUCAAGGGAUGAGUCGGCCCACUGUCACCACAUCUCUGAGUGGGGGGAGACGUAAUGCAGCUCCCUGGUGUGAAGAUGC
rnacentral:sRNA from 1 species